UCCGCACUCCAUGGAUGUGCGUGGUUCUUGGGUUGGUUCGUGUGUGUGGCGUGAGGUGGACCAGGUCGCUACCUCCGCCCGCUUGGCACACUCGGACCAGUCCGGACCAAGCCAAAUCAGCAUUGACCUCGUGUGUGGAGAGAUUACCCGCCUAAUUUAAGCAUAUUAAUAAGCGGAGGAAGAGAAACCAACAGGGAUUCCCUCAGUAAGUGCGACUGAACCGGGAUGAGCCCAGCGCAUAACUUCGUGUCCUCACAGGGGAUCCACGAGGGGUGUUGCGUUUCGGAGGGUCCAGCACGCCGCGCCAUACCGUCCAAGUCUUAGCACGAAAGCGGCCACUACCCAGGGAGGGUGUCAGGCCCGUGCGGCGGCGCCCGCGAGGGCACACAUGGCGCGGUCGGAAAGGGCCUCUCUGUAGAGUCGGGUUGCUUAAUAAUGCAGCCUAAAGCAGGUGGUAAACUCCAUCCAAGGCUAAAUAUGACCACGAGACCGAUAGCGAACAAGUACCGUGAGGGAAAGUUGAAAAGAACUUUGAAGAGAGAGUUCAAGAGUACGUGAAACCGUUAAGAGCCAAACGGAUGGAACCUCGAAGAUCGAAGUGGGGGGAUUCAGCUCGUCGGCCGUCAGCUGGUGUUUCGCGGAGACGUUAACUCGAAGCCACCCAAGAGAGCUUGGGGUGUGCCCCUUACCCACGCUGGCGUCGGCGGGUUUAUUUCGCCUCGUAGUAGGGCGCCGCGACCCGUCGCUUGGGGACGUCGAAGGCCCGGACGGAAUGGUACCUUGCCUUCGGAAUGGCCCUCUUCCUCUUUCCUGCUGGGGGCCAGAUGAGGGGGUGAGCGAAACCGCCGGUGUAUGAUUUCCUGACUGCCCUGCGACGGUCGUAAAGAUGAGCCCCUGCUUCCAUUCAUCCCUCUCUCUCUGUAUCUCUUUCUCCUCGGAGGAAGGGGUUGGAGGGCCGGGUGGUAUUUGGUCGUGCGGGGCUCUCGCGGCGUGCAAAAAGGUCGGUGAUCCAUCCGACCCGUCUUGAAACACGGACCAAGGAGUCUAACAUGUGUGCGAGUCAUUGGGCGAACUAAACCCAAAGGCGUAAUGAAAGUGACGACGAGUCCGGCGUCCCCAGGGAGCCGGACUCUGGGCAGAUCCUCAGGCGGAUUGCCUCCCUAACCAAAUCGCCACCUCCUCUGCCUCACCGCGUGAGCUAUUUUCCCUGGCCGAGGCUUAGGGUGGAUGGAAUCGUUGGUUUUGGAGUGCGAAGGUUGUGUGCGAGUAACAUCGCGCGCAUGAUCCUGUCCGCCGAACUGGCGCACGCCCGGGACUUGCCAGGACGCCGCCCGGCGGCAUCCGCAUCCUUCUGUGAGGCUUUCGGAGCUCUGCUCCUGGCCGUAGCUGUGCGGUAGUCAUCCCGCGUGCAGUCGGCAAGUACCAUGAGCAGGCAUGUUAGCACCCGAAAGAUGGUGAACUAUGCCUGGCCAGGAUGAAGCCAGAGGAAACUCUGGUGGAGGUCCGUAGCGAUUCUGACGUGCAAAUCGAUCGUCUGAGCUGGGUAUAGGGGCGAAAGACCAAUCGAACCAUCUAGUAGCUGGUUCCCUCUGAAGUUUCCCUCAGGAUAGCUGGACCUCAAAGGAUGAAUUUCAUCCGGUAAAGCGAAUGAUUAGAGGUGUUGGGGACGGAAGGUCCUCAACCUAUUCUCAAACUUUAAAUGGGUGAGAUGCCGAGCUUACUUGAACGCUGAAGCUCCGGCGACUAAUCCGCGAGUCUAGUGGGCCAUUUUUGGUAAGCAGAACUGGCGCUGUGGGAUGAACCAAACGUCGAGUUAAGGGGCCUAAACGAAUGCUCAUUCAGAUCCCAUAAAAAGGCGUUGGUUGCUACAGACAGCAGGACGGUGGCCAUGGAAGUUGGAAUCCGCUUAGGAGUGUGUAACAACUCACCUGCCGAAGCAACUAGCACUGAAAAUGGCAUGGCGCUCAAGCAUUCUCCCGAUACUCGACCGCCGGGGCACUAGCGGCCACGCCCCACCACAGGCGAGGUCUCGAAGCCCCGGUGAGUAAGAGGGUCGCGGUGGUGAGCGCUGAAGGGUCACGGCGUGAGCCGGCCUGGAGCCGCCACUGGUGCGGAUCUUGGUGGUAGUAGCAAAUAAUCAAGAGAGACUCCCUUGAUGGCCGAUGAGGGGAAGGGUUCCACGUGAACAUCAGUUGGACAUGGGUUAGUCGCUCCUAAGCCCAAGGCUAACGCCUGAUCGUACGCUAGCGGGAACGACCAACGGCUUCGGCCAAAGGCCCAUCCGCUAGGGCAAACAGCGCUUCCAGCACGUAAGAGGAGACUUGCACAUGCCCGGUCGCCCGACAUGCUCGGAUCAACGUCCUCCAAGACGAAGACCGCGGAGAGUCGGGAAUACGGGACGCAGAACCCAGUGUAUCGUUGUUGCCCGUGGAUCAGUGGCGAAAGGGAAUACGGUACUUAUUCCGUAACCUUUUGGAAUCGGACACAUGGCAGGCGCAAG
rnacentral:rRNA from 1 species